AACGAACGCUGGCGGCAUGCCUAACACAUGCAAGUCGAACGAAGCCUUCGGGCUUAGUGGCGCACGGGUGCGUAACGCGUGGGAAUCUGCCCCUUGCUUCGGAAUAACAGUUAGAAAUGACUGCUAAUACCGGAUGAAGUCUUCGGACCAAAGAUUUAUCGGCAAGGGAUGAGCCCGCGUAGGAUUAGGUAGUUGGUGGGGUAAAGGCCUACCAAGCCGACGAUCCUUAGCUGGUCUGAGAGGAUGUUCAGCCACACUGGGACUGAGACACGGCCCAGACUCCUACGGGAGGCAGCAGUGGGGAAUAUUGGACAAUGGACGCAAGUCUGAUCCAGCAAUGCCGCGUGAGUGAUGAAGGCCUUAGGGUUGUAAAGCUCUUUUACCAGGGAUGAUAAUGACAGUACCUGGAGAAUAAGCUCCGGCUAACUCCGUG
rnacentral:rRNA from 1 species